rnacentral:sRNA from 1 species
UCCUAGCCCCGAUUGCAGCGGCAUCCUUUUUUUUUGCGUGGGCUUGAAAAAAGCGCUGGCAAAAAAAGAUACAGCGGAAAGCGGGAUUAAGC